rnacentral:lncRNA from 1 species
CCCCAUCCCAGAGCCACGGCUGCUUCUGGUCCUGGCCCUGGGGACAAGGCUGAUGGCACGGGCUUUCAGGCACAUCCCUGCACACUGAGCACCCUUUUUUGAUCUCGGUGCCUCAGUUUCUCCCUCUCUGGCACUCUCCAGGUGAAGGGUGAUGCUUCCGAGGUGGCAGGAGGGCUCGGUACUCGGUGGACAACAGCGAGGAGCGGAAGGAUGUGUUCCUCAGCUCCUCGGAGUGCUCCUUCAAGGUGGAGAGCCUCAAGCGCGGCACCUGGUCCAAGGUGAAGCUGGCGGCCAAGAACAGCGUGGGGGCCGGCCGUGUCAGCGAGAUAAUCGAAGCCGAGACCCACGGCAGAGUCUGGUAGGACUCUGAGCCAUCCUGCACCGAGGAGCAUCCCUGGUGAGAGGAGCACCCUCCCCAGCCAGGCUGCUGCAAAGGCACCAGGGACCAUGCCCCAAUUCCUCCAGUGAAGCCACAAGCGUCAGAGUUGCUGUUUCCCACCGAGACCUCCAGCAACACCUUACCUUAGAGACAGUUUGCUUCUGGUGAACCCAAACCCUUCCAGGGGCAUUGCCUUCCCUCUGCCCGCAGUGUCCCGUACGCUCGGCCAGAGGAUCCGGGUUCCUGCCCCGGCAUCUGGAGCCUCUGCUUUGGAUACCCUGAGAAUUCCUGUCCAGAGCAACCCGGCAGCCUCCAAAUCCAUGCCUGAAGUGGGGUUAGAUUCUUCUGCAAGUACUUACCUUGCCUCGGUUUGUCGGUCUGUUAUUUGGUUAGUUUUUAUUAUUAUUAAUCCCAAGGUCUGUCCUGAAUGACAUUUACUUCUGUGCACAAGUUUUUUUCCAUUCAUUCCAUUUUAACACAUUUUUUGGAGACAAAAACCACAGUGAUUUUCCAAUUUAGCGUGCAAGGAUUUUGCACAGUGUUUGCACGCAGAACACAAGGGAGGCGAUUCAAGGCUGAGGAUCACGCUCUAGAGCUCCAACAGGGUCUGUUUGAGCCAGAAAGAGCUUUCAGCUUACCUUAAAACCAUCAAGGGAAAACACUGAAGGGGCCAGAAAGGCUGGGGGACACACAGCAACUGGUC